rnacentral:rRNA from 1 species
AUGAACGCUAGCUACAGGCUUAACACAUGCAAGUCGAGGGGAAACGACAUCGAAAGCUUGCUUUUGAUGGGCGUCGACCGGCGCACGGGUGAGUAACGCGUAUCCAACCUGCCCAUCACUUGGGAAUAACCUUGCGAAAGUAAGACUAAUACCCAAUGACAUCCCACGAAGACAUCUGAAUGGGAUUAAAGAUUUAUCGGUGAUGGAUGGGGAUGCGUCUGAUUAGCUUGUUGGCGGGGUAACGGCCCACCAAGGCAACGAUCAGUAGGGGUUCUGAGAGGAAGGUCCCCCACAUUGGAACUGAGACACGGUCCAAACUCCUACGGGAGGCAGCAGUGAGGAAUAUUGGUCAAUGGGCGAGAGCCUGAACCAGCCAAGUAGCGUGCAGGAUGACGGCCCUAUGGGUUGUAAACUGCUUUUAUAAGGGAAUAAAGUGGGUCUCGGGAGACUUUUUGCAUGUACCUUAUGAAUAAGGACCGGCUAAUUCCGUG